rnacentral:rRNA from 1 species
UGCAGUCGAACGGUAACGACGAAGACAAUCCCUUCGGGGUGCGUUUUCGGGCGACGAGUGGCGCACGGGUGAGUAACGCGUGGGAAUCUGCCCGACAGUGGGGGAUAGCCCGGGGAAACUCGGAUUAAUACCGCAUACGUCCUACGGGAGAAAGAUGGGGACCUCUUCGGAGGCCUGUCACUGACGGAUGAGCCUGCGUCUGAUUAGCUUGUUGGCGGGGUAAAAGCCCACCAAGGCGACGAUCAGUAGCUGGUCUGAGAGGACGACCAGUCACACUGGGACUGAGACACGGCCCAGACUCCUACGGGAGGCAGCAGUGGGGAAUAUUGGACAAUGGGCGCAAGCCUGAUCCAGCAAUGCCGCGUGUGUGAAGAAGGCCUGCGGGUUGUAAAGCACUUUCAGCGGGGAAGAAAAGCCGUGUGUGAAUAGCACGUGGUCUUGACAUUAUCCGCAGAAGAAGCACCGGCUAAUUCCGUGCCAGCAGCCGCGGUAAUACGGAAGGUGCAAGCGUUAAUCGGAAUUACUGGGCGUAAAGCGCGCGUAGGCGGUGCGGUAAGUCGGAUGUGAAAUCCCCGGGCUCAACCUGGGAAUUGCAUUCAAUACUGCCGCGCUUGAGUACGGUAGAGGGAAACGGAAUUCCGGGUGUAGCGGUGAAAUGCGUAGAUAUCCGGAGGAACACCAGUGGCGAAGGCGGUUUCCUGGUCCGAUACUGACGCUGAGGCGCGAAAGCGUGGGGAGCAAUCAGGAUUAGAUACCCUGGUAGUCCACGCCGUAAACGAUGUCUACCAGCCGUUGCCGGGCUCAGACCCGGCGGUGGCGAAGCUAACGCGUUAAGUAGACCGCCUGGGGAGUACGGCCGCAAGGCUAAAACUCAAAGGAAUCGACGGGGGCCCGCACAAGCGGUGGAGCAUGUGGUUUAAUUCGAUGCAACGCGAAGCACCUUACCCACCCUUGACAUCUUGUCGCGAACCCAGAGAUGGGUUCUUCAGUUUGGCUGGACAAAGACAG